rnacentral:rRNA from 1 species
AAGGUAGCGAAAUUCCUUGUCGGGUAAGUUCCGACCUGCACGAAUGGCGUAACGAUCUCCACACUGUCUCGGCCAGAGACUCGGUGAAAUUGCAGUCGCGGUGAAAAUUCCGUGUACCCGCAGAAAGACGGAAAGACCCUGUGCACCUUUACUAUAGCUUGACAUUGGAUUUUGGGCCUGCAUGUGUAGGAUAGGUGGGAGGCUGCGAACCCUGUACGCCAGUAUGGGGGGAGCCAUCCUUGAAAUACCACCCUUGCAUGUUUAAGAUCCUAACUUCUUCCGGUUAUCCCGGAGAAAGACAGUGUCUGGCGGGUAGUUUGACUGGGGCGGUCGCCUCCUAAAGUGUAACGGAGGCAUGCAAAGGUUCCCUCAGCCUGAUCGGAAACCAGGCGCUGAGUGCAAACGCAUAAGGGAGCUUGACUGUAAGAGAGACAUCUCGAACAGGAACGAAAGUUGGCGUUAGUGAUCCGGUGGUCCCGAAUGGAAGGGCCAUCGCUCAUUGGAUAAAAGGUACGCCGGGGAUAACAGGCUGAUCGCAUCCAAGAGUUCACAUCGACGAUGCGGUUUGGCACCUCGAUGUCGGCUCAUCACAUCCUGGGGCUGAAGCAGGUCCCAAGGGUACGGCUGUUCGCCGUUUAAAGUGGUACGCGAGCUGGGUUUAAAACGUCGUGAGACAGUUUGGUCCCUAUCUUCUGUGGGCGAAGGAGAAUUGAGAGGGCCUGUCCCUAGUACGAGAGGACCGGGAUGGACGCACCCCUGGUGAUCCUGUUGUCGCGCCAGCGGCAUAGCAGGGUAGCUAUGUGCGGAAGGGAUAACCGCUGAAAGCAUCUAAGCGGGAAGCCUGCCUCAAGAUAAGUUCUCCCCUCGAAAGAGCUGAAGGGCCCGGGUAGACUACCCGGUCGAUAGGCUGGAGGUGUAAGCGCGGCGACGUGCUCAGCUGACCAGUACUAAUAGCCCGAGCGGCUUAUUUAU